rnacentral:rRNA from 1 species
CCUACGGGUGGCUGCAGUGGGGAAUAUUGGACAAUGGGCGAAAGCCUGAUCCAGCCAUGCCGCGUGUGUGAAGAAGGCCUUCGGGUUGUAAAGCACUUUCAGUGGGGAAGAAAGCCUUGGGGCUAAUACCCUCGAGGAAGGACAUCACCCACAGAAGAAGCACCGGCUAACUCCGUGCCAGCAGCCGCGGUAAUACGGAGGGUGCGAGCGUUAAUCGGAAUUACUGGGCGUAAAGCGCGCGUAGGCGGUCUGAUAAGCCGGUUGUGAAAGCCCCGGGCUCAACCUGGGAACGGCAUCCGGAACUGUCAGGCUAGAGUGCAGGAGAGGAAGGUAGAAUUCCCGGUGUGGCGGUGAAAUGCGUAGAGAUCGGGAGGAAAACCAGUGGCGAAGGCGGCCUUCUGGACUGACACUGACGCUGAGGUGCGAAAGCGUGGGUAGCAAACAGGAUUAGAUACCCGUGUGUC